GCCCCUCCCUGGCGUGGGGAGAGCGACGGCUCCGCUCGUCGGCCCGCGGGCGCAGCCGGCAGGAGGCGCCGCCCGGCUCCCCCAGAGGCCGCGCAAGAAAGCGAAGCGGCCUCGGCCCGGGCCAGGGUCCCGAGACGCAGCGGGUGAGCAGCGGCGGAUCCCCCGUGAGCGGCGCGUCUCCCUCCGGCCCUUCUCCCCGGACCGAAGCGGGGCUGCUCUCCAGCCGCGCUAGUUCAGUCACGAAGUGUCACUAGCUCACGACAAGGCAAGGCUUUGGGCCCACGCUCCCAAACUCCAUAUAACAGAGGGAGAGGACAGCCAGCACCCGGAGCCAGCUGCCCUCCCAGCUCGCCGCAGCCAGAGGCACCCCAGGGACCGACGCGUGCGGGAGCAGCGCUCGGGCAGAAGCACCAGCGCGCACAGCAGUCACUAGGCUCCCAAGAGGGCUCUCAGCCCGGCCACCCCGCAGCAGGCGGAACGCUGCGCUCAGCUGCAGCGCGCGACGCUCGUCUCCCAGUCCCGCCAGCCCUGCGCGAGAAGAAUCAAGCCCCGCCCCCACGCCACAGGACGAAUAGACACGCCCCGCGCUUGAUCUCCAGCACUUGCCUGGCCCGCUGGUCCGUCCAUGGCGCACAUCACCAUCAACCAGUAUUUGCAGCAGGUUCUAGAAGCCAUUGAUUCCAGAGAUGGAUUGUUUUGUGCAGAAUUGGUGUCAUUUAAGCAUCCUCAUGUUGCAAACCCCAGGCUUCAGCUUCCAUCUCCAGAAGACAAAUGUCAACAAGUUCUGGAGCCACCAUAUGAUGAAAUGUUUGCUGCUCACUUAAGAUGUACUUACGCUGUUGGAAACCAUGACUUUAUUGAAGCUUACAAAUGCCAGACCGUUAUAGUACAAUCAUUCCUGCGAGCAUUUCAAGCACAUAAAGAAGAAAACUGGGCUUUGCCUAUUAUGUAUGCUGUAGCACUUGACCUUCGAAUUUUUGCUAAUAAUGCCGAUCAACAGCUGGUGAAGAAAGGGAAAAGCAAAGUUGGUGAUAUGUUGGAAAAAGCAGCAGAAUUGCUGAUGAGCUGUUUUCGUGUCUGUGCCAGUGACACUCGAGCUGGCAUUGAUGACUCCAAAAAGUGGGGCAUGUUGUUUCUGGUGAAUCAGCUGUUUAAAAUCUAUUUUAAGAUUAACAAACUUCAUCUGUGUAAACCAUUAAUUAGAGCUAUUGACAGCUCAAAUUUGAAAGAUGACUACAGCAUGGCACAGAGAGUUACAUACAAAUACUACGUUGGACGCAAGGCCAUGUUUGACAGUGAUUUUAAGCAAGCUGAAGAGUAUCUGUCAUUCGCCUUUGAGCAUUGUCACCGUUCAAGUCAGAAAAACAAAAGGAUGAUUUUGAUUUACCUUUUGCCAGUAAAAAUGUUAUUGGGCCAUAUGCCAACAAUUCAGCUUUUGAAAAAAUAUGAGCUUAUGCAGUUUGCUGAAGUAACUAAGGCUGUGAGUGAAGGAAAUCUUCUGCUAUUGAAUGAUGCUCUGACAAAACACGAGACCUUCUUCAUUCGUUGUGGUAUCUUCCUGAUCCUUGAGAAGCUGAAAAUCAUCACCUACAGGAACCUGUUUAAGAAAGUAUAUUUGCUACUUAAAACCCAUCAGCUAUCUCUAGAUGCCUUUCUGGUUGCCCUGAAAUUUAUGCAGGUGGAAGAUGUUGAUAUUGAUGAAGUCCAGUGUAUUUUGGCUAAUCUUAUAUACAUGGAAGAUCACCACAAAGCCAAAUUAAAACAACAACAAAGCAAAUGCCAUACCUGUCUGUUCUGUCUGAAGGAAAAGGAGGACAAAAAUAAGAAAGCAUAUUGUCCAAAGACUUGUAUUUCAAAGCUCUAUUCAUUUACAUCGCUUCCUCACCAGUCUCUAAACCCUGGUCUACACUAGGAGUUGAGGUCGAAUUUAGCAGCAUUAAAUCGAUUUAACCCUGCACCCGUCCACACAACGAAGCCCCUUUUUUUUUUUACUUAAAGGGCUCUUAAAAUUGAUUUAUUUACUCCACCCCAGACAACAGGAUUAGCACUGAAAUUGGCCUUGCCUGGUUGAAUUUGGGGUACUGUGGACGCAAUUCGAUGGUAUUGGCCUCCAGAAGCUAUCCCAGAGUGCUCCAUUGUGACCGCUUUGGACAGCACUCUCAACUCAGAUGCACUGGCCAGGUAGACAGGAAAAGGCCCGCGAACUUUUGAAUUUCAUUUCCUGUUUGGCCAGCGUGGCAAGCUGCAGGAGAGUGCAGAGCUCAUCAGCAGAGGUGACCAUGAUGGAGUCCCAGAAUCGCAAAAGAGCUCCAGCAUGGACCAAACAGGAGGUACGGGAUCUGAUCGCUGUAUGGGGAAAGGAAUCCGUGCUAUCAGAACUCCGUUCCAGUUUUUGAAAUGCCAAAACAUUUGUCAAAAUCUCCCAGGGCAUGAAGGACAGAAGCCAUAACAGGGACCCGAAGCAGUGCCACGUGAAACUUAAGAAGCUGAGGCAAGCCUACCAGAGAGGCAAACGGCUGCUCCAAGUCAGAGCCCCAAACAUGCCACUUCUAUGAUGAGCUGCAUGCCAUCUUAGGGGGUUCAGCCACCACUACCCCAACCGUGUGCUUUGACUCCAUCAAUGGAGGAGGCGGCAACACAGAAGCAGGUUUUGAGGACCAGGAAGAUGAGGAGGAGGAGGUUGUAGAUAGCUCACAGCAAGCAAGCGGAGAAACCGAUUUUCCCAACAGCCAGGAAUGGUUUCUCACCCUGGACCUGGAGAGCCAGUACCCCCCAAACCCACCCAAGGCUGCCUCCCGGACCCUCCAGGUGGAGAAGGGACCUCUGCUGCAUGUGUUUCAAGGAUCACAGGAUCUUCUCCUUCCCAGAGGCUAGCGAAGAUUAGAAGGCGAAAAAAACCACACUUGUGAUGAAAUGUUCUCUGACCUCAUGCUGUCUUCCCACACUGACAGAGCACAGACAAAUGCAUGGAGGCAGACAAUGUCAGAGUGCAGGAAAGCACUAAAUGAAUGCAAGGAGAAGUGGCGGGCUGAAGAUGAUAGUUGGUGGCAGCGUGAUGAGAGGAGGCAGGAUUCAAUGCUGAGGCUGCUGGAGGAUCAAACUAAUAUGCUCCAGUGUAUGGUUGAGCUGCAGGAAAGGCAGCUGG